rnacentral:lncRNA from 10 species
CCCUAUUCAAGAUGGAGACGCCCUGGUUCAGACGCCUCUGACAGAUGCUCCAAGAUGAUGUGAAGCAUCAACAUGUUCACCUCUGCUCUGGUUACAAGAGGGAUGCAGUGUUCCAGGUGUCACAUGGAGAUAGCCGGGCAUCUCAUGAAGACAGGGGCAUUUUUGUCCUUUGAUACUUUCUAUGAAUAAGGAAAAAAUUAUCUGAUAUCUCCCUUAAAACCUUUCUGGCAGGAUUGGGCCCCAUAGUGUGCCUUGCUGGAGGAGAGGCUGGAAGGGACAGUACCCGCCAUCUUUGUUCUCUCAGGUUGGAGACAGGCCCUGCUGGAGAAUGGGGAGGCACGAGGAAUAAAGAGGGUCUACUUCAGAGCAGCAGAAAAAAUGUUUCUUUCUGGAAAUAUACUGAAGAACAAAAUGUGAUAUGAAGACAUAUGGAAUAUAAAAACAAAGGGUGGACAGGCUGUGUAAAAAUGGAAUCUGUCACUCAUGUCUCCUAUUUGAUAAAUUGGAGUAUAUAUAAAUUUACUCAAUUUAAAUGCAAAUAUUUGAUUUUAGAAAGUCUCAUACUCUAUAUAUUAUAGGGCAGAAAAUUUUCAUAUCAUCGCACACUCUAUUAAAGAGGAUUUCAAACUAUUUUAAAACUGUUCAGCAGCCUUGUAAUAAAGUUAUCCUCUGAACCUCUUCACACACUUAUCAACCUUGACUUAUAUUACUCCAAAUAUUUCAGCCUGUUUCUUGAGGAUGCUUUACCUUGGGGUCUCUAAGUGUAAAGAUUUCCAGUUGUUUCCAGCACAUUCUGUCACCUUUGUUCAACUCUCCAACUUUACUUCAUUAAUGUAUAUGGAUAAUGUUCAGUUCCAUCACAUCUUAUGAAGAACUAAUGAAGCUCUUCCAGACUUAAUUUUAGGAUUCAGUGGCUGUCUGGAUUCCCUUGUAUCAGCAUUCACUUUCGUCAUCACUUGCCUUGGUAAUUUCUCCUUCUCACAACAGCAAAUUUCACGACUAACGAUGGCCCGAAGGCUCCUUCCCUCCACGGGAUUCUGCUCCAGCCACAGCAGAGACUAUUUUGCACACCUUCCAGACAUUGCUGCCCCAUUCCAGGUACCUCAAGGUCAAUAAACACAACAUGCAAAUCUCAUCUUAUACCCAUCAGGAGUAUAAACAAGACAGUUGAAUGCACACUGUUAUCAAACACUUUGUCUCUUACUGUUUUUUAAUUUUAUUUUUUUGCUGCUUUCAAUUGCUGUUUUAAGAACACAUUAUAUCUCCUUUAGGGAAUAAAUUCAACACAAUGAGAAAAUUAAGUACAUUUUCACGGUUUUAGGGUUUUGAAUUCUGUGUCAUAACAUAGAUUUGCUAUCUAAUCAAAGGAAGUAAUGAUGAUAACAUUAAUAGCAGCACCACUAACAACAAUAGUACUCACAGCACCACUGGUUGCAAAGAGUUUGGGAAAAACUUACAAGCCUCUUAAAACUGAGUUAGUGGAUUUUAGCUACUCACCAGCUUUUUACUUUUCUUAUAUUCUUAUAUGGGUGCUAACUCUUAAGGACAAUACUACUUAACAACUAGUUACAAAAAGUAAUGCCCUUCUCUUAGGGAAAAGGUGAUAACAACAUUUUUGUAAAGUAUCCUAAAUCCAAAGACUCUUUCUGUAACCUUCCUUUCCCCCUUAGUGUCUCAAUAUCAAGUUGCAAUAGAAGCUUGCUGUUAGUGGAUCUGCACUUUAAAAUGGUACUUAAUAUGAAUACAUAAUCAGAAGGGAUUUUUUUACUUGUUUUGUGAAAAUGAACUGCAAGUCAACUAAGAUAUUUAAAACAAGGAAAAAGAAAGUCUUCUUCUACAGUGCCUCCAGGCAGAUACAAGUGCCCUUCUUGUCUCAUGGACUCAAUCAGGAGAUAUGAAGAUUGACAACUGAUUGGCAAAAGUGAAGUCACUGUGUGACCUGUCCUGAAAAGAUGGUGGCUGCAUCUAGAAACAGUGACGUGUUUGGGGAACAAUGGAGUAGAGUCAGAGACGCACCUACUAAGACAUUUUGGCUGCUGGGCACCUGAACAUGAGCAAUGUGAAGCUUCCGGUGCGUGUUUCCAUAGAGAGUUUUCUGAUAAUGUGUCAGUUAUUUUUAGCCACAAAACACUAUAAGACAACUGAGCAUGCUUUUCAGUGGCUAACAACUAUAAGCAUUAAUUUUGCUCAUGCACUAAGGGAUGACUGAGCCCUUCUGCUGGCCUGGGCCACGCCUAACUGAUUGCAGCUGGGCUAGCUCUUGCAUCAGCUGGUGGAUUGGCCUGGGGCAGGCUGGCCUGGGGUAGCUUUGGUUGGGAUGAUUUUUUUCUGCUCUGUGGUCUUUCAUCUUGUGAUAGGCUAGUCUCGGCUUUUCCUACAGUGGAGGCAGGGGUCUGAGGGAAGAAGUGGAAACACUUGAGGCCUGGGAGGCCUACUCUGAUAAUAAGCCAAGUCACCUCUGCUGCAUUCUAUUGGUUAGAGCAAGCCACAGCUCAGCCCAGACACAAGAGUUGGGCAACACCCUCUACUUCUUGAUGAGAGGAGCUAACAUGUAACUUUGCAAAUGGAAUAAAUAUAGAAAAAGGUGAAAAUUCAGGGCCAUUUUUGCAAUCAGUCCAUUACAGAUGGUUUAUUAUUGAGAAACAUCUAUACAUCCAUAUCCAUAUAAAAUUACAUAUCUGUAUCUAUUUUUGAUGUUAUAGUUGACCCCUGAUCCAGAGAAGAAAGGGAUAGAGUGUAAUAAUCUCUGCUUUCUGGUGGAUCUCCUGUUGUUGAGUAAAAGGGAAUAUGAUCAGGAAAUCACAAAUAUCAAAAGAAUGGAAUGGAUAACUGACAAAUGAUUUAUAUUCCAUAUGCGUAUGUCACAUUUAAUAAAACAAAAUUAUGGCUGAGCACAGUGGCUCACACCUAUAAUCUUAGCACUUUGGAGGCCGAGGAGGGCGGAUCACAAGGUCAAGUUUAAGACCAGCCUGAACGACAUGGUGAAACCCCGUCUCUACUAAAAAUACAAAAAUUAGCUGGGCAUGGUGGUGCAUACCUGUAAUCCUAGCUAUUCAGGAGGCUGAGGCAGGAGAAUCGCUUGAACCCAGGAGGCAGAGGUUGCAGUGAGCUAAGAUCGUGCCACUGCACUCCAGCCUGGGUGACAGAGUGAGACUCCAUCUCAAACAAACAAACAAACAAACACCCCACAAAACUACAUAAUAGGAAAAUGUACUUGAUAAUAUUAAACUUUUAAGCAGUCCUUUAGAAAUGGCUGAGAAAAGUGAUUAGGAAAAGGGUGAAAACCUCCAACACUUAGGGAAAAUCCUGUAGCUAUCAGCGGCAGAAAGCAAUCCUUAAUUUUCCGUAUGUCCCAGAGGGAAUGAGAAAGUCAACUGGACUGAGGCUGU